rnacentral:rRNA from 1 species
UACGUAGGUGGCAAGCGUUGUCCGGAUUUACUGGGCGUAAAGCGUGCGCAGGCGGUUGUGCAAGACAGAUGUGAAAUCCCCGGGCUUAACCUGGGAAUUGCAUUUGUGACUGCACGGCUAGAGUGUGUCAGAGGGGGGUAGAAUUCCACGUGUAGCAGUGAAAUGCGUAGAGAUGUGGAGGAAUACCGAUGGCGAAGGCAGCCCCCUGGGAUAACACUGACGCUCAUGCACGAAAGCGUGGGGAGCAAACAGG